CGUAGGGGCUAGCGUUGUCCGGAUUUAUUGGGCGUAAAGAGCGUGUAGGCGGCCAGGUAGGUCUGCUGUGAAAACUCGAGGCUCAACCUCGAGACGUCGGCGGAAACCAUCUGGCUAGAGUCCGGAAGAGGAGAGUGGAAUUCCUGGUGUAGCGGUGAAAUGCGCAGAUAUCAGGAAGAACACCCGUGGCGAAGGCGGCUCUCUGGGACGGUACUGACGCUGAGACGCGAAAGCGUGGGGAGCGAACAGGAUUAGAUACCCUGGUAGUCCACGCCGUAAACGAUGGGUGCUAGGUGUGGGCGGUGUCGACUCCGUCCGUGCCGAAGCUAACGCAUUAAGCACCCCGCCUGGGGAGUACGGCCGCAAGGCUA
rnacentral:rRNA from 1 species